rnacentral:rRNA from 1 species
AAUAGAUACCCGGGUAGUCCACGCCCUAAACGAUGCGCAUUAGACCGGUGCAGGUCUGACCCUGUAUUGGUCGUAGAGAAAUUGAUAAAUGCGCCGCCUGGGGAGUACGGUCGCAAGGCUAAAACUCAAAGGAAUUGACGGGGGCUCACACAAGCGGUGGAGCAUGUUGCUUAAUUCGAAGCAACGCGAAGAACCUUACCUGGGUUUGACAUGCACGGAUUAGUUCUUGGAAACAGGGAUGACACCCGCAAGGGUGGAACGUGCACAGGUGCUGCAUGGCUGUCGUCAGCUCGUGCUGUGAAGUGUCGGGUUAAGUCCUCUAACGAGCGCAACCCCUGUCGCUAGUUGCUAACGGGUAAUGCCGAGGACUCUAGCGAGACUGCCGGCGUAAGUCGGAGGAAGGCGGGGAUGACGUCAAGUCCUCAUGGCCCUUACAUCCAGGGUUGCAAACGUGCUACAAUGGUGCGUACAGAGCGACGCGAGGCCGCAAGGCGGAGCAAAUCGCAAAAAACCGCACCCCAGUUCGGAUUGCG